UACGUAGGGUGCGAGCGUUGUCCGGAAUUAUUGGGCGUAAAGAGCUCGUAGGCGGUGUGUCGCGUCGGCCGUGAAAACCUGCAGCUUAACUGUGGGCUUGCGGUCGAUACGGGCAUCACUGGAGUUCGGCAGGGGAGACUGGAAUUCCUGGUGUAGCGGUGAAAUGCACAGAUAUCAGGAGGAACACCGGUGGCGAAGGCGGGUCUCUGGGCCGAUACUGACGCUGAGGAGCGAAAGCGUGGGGAGCGAACAGG
rnacentral:rRNA from 1 species